rnacentral:rRNA from 1 species
UACGUAGGGUGCGAGCGUUAAUCGGAAUUACUGGGCGUAAAGCGUGCGCAGGCGGUGAUGUAAGACAGAUGUGAAAUCCCCGGGCUCAACCUGGGAACUGCAUUUGUGACUGCAUCGCUGGAGUGCGGCAGAGGGGGAUGGAAUUCCGCGUGUAGCAGUGAAAUGCGUAGAUAUGCGGAGGAACACCGAUGGCGAAGGCAGCCCCCUGGGUCAAGAUUGACGCUCAUGCACGAAAGCGUGGGGAGCAAACAGG